AUACAUUUAUUUUCGAAGGAUAUACAGUAUAUAUUAUCAAACUAAAAUAUUUUAUAUUUAUUGAUAAGAGAGUUACAAGAAACUUUCUUCUUGUAAAACAGGCCAAAGAUGAAUUUUAUCUAAACAAAACGAUUUUAAAAUGUUUGGAUGAAUAUUAACUUCUAUAAACAUUCCAUUCUUAGAACAUUUUAACGAUAGAACAUCAUCAUUUUUGACCGGAUAUGUUUGUCUUUCCUGGAAGAACUGACUCUCCUAGAUGAUGAUUCGAUAGUUUUAGAAGUAAAGUCUAACAAGUUAAGUUUCUAUUGUAUAAAUUCUAUAUACUACGAAACAAAGAUUAGUCGUUAGAAUAAACACCGCCAGCUUCAUAAACUCAGGUCGCCUUACUUAAAUAUACAAAUAACUGGAAGAAACAAGUUCAUUGGACGAUUCAACUUUUAUUCCUGGGGAGAGAGUAGGGGAGUUUGUGUAUUUUCUUUCUUUUUUUUUAGUCUCACAUCUCCCGCUCUGGAUUUGCAGACUGCUUGGCCACGCUGGCGUAUUUUGGCUACGAUUGUGUGACUGUUCCUUGUAACAGGAUACUUCAAAAUGUCCUUAUCGCUAGUGCAGGGAUUUGAUUUCAGCCAAGACAAGGUUUUCUAAGCGUAUUUCAAUAAUGUAGCAGUGCUCAUUGGCUGAAGAGAGAAACUAGAUAAAUUUCCCCUUCCCGGUUUUUAAGGUUAUUUUUGUAAAGCUAUGCUAAUUAAUCAGAUGAUUUUUUUAAUGUAUUCAUCAAACUUGUAGAAAUUAAUUAAAAAAGAAACGUUAAAAGCGAUGUUAAUCGCGUUAAAAUACGGUAUUAUAAUUACAUUUGGUAAUCAGAUUUUAGUAUAUCUGUCACCGGUUUUAGUAAUCAUGGAUGUACUGCAUUACCAUCAUUAUCCUUCACCUGUGUAUUAUCAAGAGCGAAUUUCCAUUUUCGACUUAAAUGACAUCUCGACAAUAGGAAUUUUAUUGCCUGCUGUCGGAAACUAGCAGUUUAGUUUACCGCCAAACAAGACCAACGAUUAAGCUUAAUUAAACAGCGUUGGACUGAACUGCGCGCAUUUCCACGCCAGUUGUUUUCGAUAAUCAGUGACUAGUCAAGCGAACACUAGAGAAAGUGGAUAUAAGUGAACCAAGUAAUUUUUGUCUCUGCUUUUUCUCUACUUUUUCUUUAAGUUGACGUUCGACUAUUGUCGAUAUGCUAACAAAAAAACGGCGAACAAAAAAAGUGUUUUCAUAAUAUAACAUUAUAGAAUUAUAUACAUUUUAUUAGAUAAAUGCUAAUUUUUGUUUAUAAUUAUUCUAUGGACAGAUGCGAGUUUUGGUUAGUUCCGUCUUUCCGCCUCCUCUACUCCCGAAACUUUUAAAACGAACAAAUUUAAUGUCAUUUCUCUCUUCUUUAACAAAAAUACGAAAAGAGAAGUUUAUAUAACAAUAUUCUUACAAUUCAAAGUUGUGGACAAGAGGAACAUUGGUACAGGUUGAGUUUUGCGUGACACUAUUUUGGGAUACGCGUAACAAAGUCAAUUCCCUCCAACAACUUCCUACUCCCCGAAACGAGCAGUAUGGAACGAACCGAGUUUCUGGCGUCCUCUUCUCCUAUCUCGCCUAUCUUGUGUUUUGUUGCAGUUGUAGGUCAUACUCACAUGGUGUGGGGUAAUGUGUUGCUGAGAUCUCCGUCAAACUGGAUGCUCUUCCAUCCUUCGCGGACGUAUCGUUACGAUCUAAGACGCAUGGACAUUGGAUAUGUUUGCAUUGGAAAGUGGUCUUGUGUCAUCCGGUUAUAACCAUUUGGAUGGGGCACCCGUCGGUACCAAUGGUGUUAACACCGUGGGUAGCAGUGCUACUAGGACAUGCAACAAUGCUUCGUCGUAUUGGUCUAAUCAGCCAUAUACAUCAGAAGCAUUUGAUCAAGAUUCUCCACGAUAUUCCACAUCCAAAUCGGG
rnacentral:lncRNA from 1 species